rnacentral:rRNA from 1 species
GACGAACGCUGGCGGCGUGCUUAACACAUGCAAGUCGAACGGAAAGGCCCUGCUUUUGUGGGGUGCUCGAGUGGCGAACGGGUGAGUAACACGUGAGUAACCUGCCCUUGACUUUGGGAUAACUUCAGGAAACUGGGGCUAAUACCCGAUAGGAGCUCCUGCUGCAUGGUGGGGGUUGGAAAGUUUCGGCGGUUGGGGAUGGACUCGCGGCUUAUCAGCUUGUUGGUGGGGUAGUGGCUUACCAAGGCUUUGACGGGUAGCCGGCCUGAGAGGGUGACCGGCCACAUUGGGACUGAGAUACGGCCCAGACUCCUACGGGAGGCAGCAGUGGGGAAUAUUGCACAAUGGGCGGAAGCCUGAUGCAGCAACGCCGCGUGCGGGAUGACGGCCUUCGGGUUGUAAACCGCUUUCGCCUGUGACGAAGCGUGAAUGACGGUAAUGGGUAAAGAAGCACCGGCUAACUACGUG